AUGCGGGGGCCAGGAGGAGGAGUCGGGCCCGGCGAGCCGCCCCCGGCCGCGGAGGAGGUGGUGGAGGAGAACUCCGGCGGGGAGGAGGAGCUCGAGCUGGGGCUCUGCCUCGGGUCCAGGAAGCUGCAGCUGCUGCAGCAGCCGGCGCCGCCGGCGCCGUGCCGUAUCCUGACGGCCAGGGACCUGCAGCCGGCGGCCGCGCUGUCGCCGGACUCCUCCGUGUCCUCCUCCUCCCCCGCCGCGGCCAAGGCGGACGACGGCCCCGCGCCCGCCGCCUCGCCGGGGACCCUCGCCUCCGGCCACCCACAGAGCAGCUUUGGAGUGGUGGGAUGGCCACCGAUAAGAACAUUCAGGAUGAACAGCCUGUUCGGGCAGGCGAAAGACAAUGCCUCCGACGCCGAAACCAAGAAGGCCGCCGCCGAUGGCUCCGGCUCGCGGAAAGACAAGGAGGAGGCCGAGAAGAAGGGCCGGGUGCCCGGGUGGGUGAAGGUGAACAUGGAUGGGGAGGUCAUUGGGAGGAAGGUGGACCUCAAUGCCCAUCGCUCCUACAAGACCCUUGCCUUGGCCCUUGAGAUCAUGUUCACCAAGCCGUCCGCCGGCCUUUGCGCUUCUAACAGCACGAAGUCACUGAAGCUGUUAGACAGCUCUUGUGAAUACCAGAUGACAUACGAAGACAGGGACGGUGACUGGAUGCUUGUUGGAGACGUCCCUUGGGAAAUGUUUGUUGGCUCCGUGAAGAGGCUGAGGAUCAUGAGGACGUCGGACGCCAGUGGCCUCGGGCCGCGAUUUCAAGCCAACCACAGAACCGCGGCCUCGACAAGAGGGAGAACAUGA
rnacentral:rRNA from 1 species